GACACUUUUUUGUGGGUCCCAGAAAACAAGAGUGAGGACAUUUAUUCACACUUUAAGUUCCUGUCUAUGAACCUUAGUUAUUUUGGACUCUGACAUUAACUUUGAAAGUUAGUAACAUAAGAAGGGCAACCAUUUUUGGAGCAGUGAUAGAGGAGCCACAGUAACACAUAAAACAUAGUCCUGGAUAUCGGGACAGAUGAAAAUCUUUGGUCAGAUGAUAGUUCUCUUACAGUGUGAUAUGGGUCAGGAGUUCUGUGAUGUAGGUGGGCGUGAGACAGUUUAAUAAUACUUUUAUUCUGUAGCUAACAGGAAGCUAAUGUAGAGAGGGUUGGAGUGAUGUCCUUUCUUAACUGGAGACGGGUACACAAGACAAAAUAAUAUCAAAGUAUAAAGAGUUGCAAUAAUCGAGAUGGAAGCAUAUAAAGGCAUGGAUGACUUUCUCCAGCCCUCAGUUAGUCAUUAAGAUGCCCAGUCCCUGCUCAAGAUGCAAGGUCACUGACAAUUAAAACCAAGCCCACGGAGGGCUCAGACGAGAGACAGAACGGCUGAUGUUGAACUCUGUGCAAGACUGGAUAAUCCAGACAAAUCACAGCCUGAGUCCCUCCUCUGCUUCUCCCCACCGGCCCUGUCACCUCUACAGCCAGGGAGAUGUCUCAUGUCUAGUGUGACCCGAUUGUGACGUCACCCAUUGGUUUGUGGAGUUCCAUUUUAAAGCCUUGAGUCUGGCGUUUUGACCGUUGCCAUGACAGUUUUGACGGAGCCAGUGGAGGUUACGUACUGUGAGUUAAACUGCGCUCAUUGGCUGCUCAGUUUCAACUUGUCCGUAGCAGGAAACAAUGGCGGCUCGCCUGGUCACACAAGUUUAAAUUUGGUGAACUUGCUGAGUUGACCUUUUGCUGACUACUUCUUGAAUUAUGAAUGAAAAACAAAUGACUUGUGUUUCUUUAUUUCCAGAACUGCACAACAAUUGGUACAUCUGCAUGUACCUUUGUUUAAAAAACCCAAUUUGAGACAGUAAAACGAUCAAACUACUGCUACUAACAUUAUCAUUGUAGCUGAGGUGGUACCAAAGUGCUCCAAAUGUGCUGUAUAUUAUUGACAUCAAUGGAGAUCUACGGCACAGAACAAUAAGAUAAAUCAGGCUUUGGUUACAUUGGCAGUACUGGUUCGGAAGUAUUUUGGUGUUGACAAAAAUAAAAACAGAUAUAAAAUAAUGUUCUUUAUCAAUGUAGCUCUUAUGACAGAAGCAAUGAAGAAAAUAGAACCGUAGAAUUCUAGAACACUACACAUCAUAGACUCUAGAAUCACAAUAGAAUGAAGAAUGGAGCCACGGAAUUCUGUCUACAGAUCAAGAUGCAAAACACAUUUGCAUGCAGUUUUCCCUAGGAGACUAAGGAUAUUUCAGGAAUACGUGUUUCUGUGACAGGCAGCCAUCAGUUUGUAACUGGUUUGUAAUUUCUUGUUUUACAAGCUAGUUCCCUGGAAAUAAGGUAAGUCUAUAACCCUGUACACAGUAUCAUUCCUCAAUAAUCUAGUCUAUAAUUUAAAUUUUACCAUGACUCUGCUGGUGUCUACAUAAAUAGUCACUGCCGUAGAGUUAAUGUAACACUUCACUUCUCUAAGAGCCACAGAACAAAUUUUCUGCUGUUAAUGAGUGUUGAUUUUUUCAUUAACAUUCUAUUAGAUGUUUAAAAAUUGAUCACUAUUUAAUAGUUGCAUUAAUUUGCUGGGAUUUAUAGUCAACACUGUCAUAACGUUAACCUUUUAAAGCCCUAUGGCUAUAAAGGACAAAAACAAGUUUUUGAAAGUCAUAUUUUGUCUUGUUCACAAUGAAUGACUUGUUCAUUUAUUAAAAGAAAAGUUUUUUUAGGAACAAAUGUGUAUGUUUUUUGUGGGAACUGUGAAGACAAACAUCUGUUUACACAACCACAUUAAAAGGGGUUAAAACUUAGAACAUCUACCACAGGGUUACUCAACUUGCUUUGCUCAGGAGCCACACAAAGGGGCCAGUUAUUAAACAAACAUGAAUAAUAUUUAUGAGAUUAAAGUAAUAAACAUUAAGUUAUUGUUAAUGUCACAGAAUAAGACAACUUCAAAGUCGUAAUCUUCUCUUUUGUUGCGGUGCUACCGGGCAAGGUAUUAACAACCUUGCACACAAUAGGAAAGUUUAACGCAGUGGUUUAGGACUGGUAUGAAGUGGCAAAAUAAAGGCAAAUUUAUCAGUACAUUUUGUUACUGAAUUAGCUUGUUGUCAUUGUCAACCUUUACACAUGCUGUCCUCACUCAUCUUUGUCAAAAAGCAAAUCCAGUCACAGCAGCCCUGCGCAGGUCUGGUGUACAGUCACAAAAAUCAAGUGUCACUGUUUCUGCACACUGUACUAUAGGCUAAUAUGCAAGUAUCAGCCAAGGGACAUAAUUCAGCAUCUACAAUUUGGUAAAAACAAACAAAAAAGAUCCCAGUGUGAAUCAGUUUAUUUUCGUUGUGAAUCAGAAAAUGGUUGGAGGACUUCCAGUUGAGGUCCACUUCUCCGAUAUACUUUAACACUUUCUGCCUUGAAUCAACUAGCGGUAAAGUUUCUUAUAAAGGUUUGUUUAAUAAAUAACUCAGACCAGAAGAGUAGAGUCACAGUUGACUGACAACAGUUUAGACUAAAAAGGCAUUGGUCCUGUUAAAGUUAGGCAUCUCACCAGGGAGAUGUUUUUUUCUUUUGCUCCUCUCUUUUCUCCUUUAUUUUCACUCAGGCUUAUACCUACCAGCUCAAACUCAAUAUAUACUGAUAUUUCAUUUCAUUUUCCUUUAAAUGAAAGUUCUGUAAAAUGUAUUUCUUGGAAUAUCUGAGUCUCGAACCGUCCUGUUGAACAAAAUAAGGUUCUCUCACACCUUGCAGUCUUAAAGGUUGGAAUAGCUUUUCUACAGGAGACCCAUCUUUGUAAUUCAGAUGUACCUACGCUCGGACAUAGUUGGGUUGGCGAAGUAUGGAAGCAUAUUGCAAUCACUUAAAAAAAAUCUGCUCUGAAUUAAUGAGAUACCUCCAGCUCACUCUCCUUGCCAAGAGCCGGCUCUCAGCUCCCCUGAGCCUAACCGAAUCCUGUAUCCAGCCUCCAGCUCCGUCUUCCCUGUUCACUCCCUGGAACUCUGCUAAAGAACCAUUGGGAGAAAGGGAAGAUCCGUGCCCACGCCCAGUGCCUGUUCUCGGCUAUCCUCCCGUGUCUGGGGACAUUGGCUGUUCCCUGUGUGGUCACAGGAGAAUAGCGAGAGAACACGCACCAUGGCCUCACUGUAAAGUUGUCUGCACUCUACUGCAGAACCGUAGGGAGAUCAGUGAGGUACGUGCCCACGCCCAGUGAGUCAUCUUGGCUGUCCUCUUGUGGCCAAACACCCCCUGGGUGCAGGUACACUGGAGGCCACCGUUUAGGGUGCGCCUGAUUUGAGACGUGAUUCACUUCACCCCCUUCAAGAGUAUAACAUGCACACAGUUCCUACCCCACACACACCAGUUCAUCAUAGUUUAUAAUAAUGCAUUGCAGUCAGGGUACAGUUGUUUCAUAACCAUAAUCUGUGUGUCACUGUUGACAGAGACUCCAGUUUGCAAAUCCACACACUUGUAAACUGCUGAGCCCACAGCCGGUGCCUGUUCUCGACAAUCCUCCUGUGAACAUCCAAUGUGAUUAUGUUGGAUAGGACAAGAAAGAAUCUAUCUACACAUGAGAGAACAGCCGAGAACAGGCACUGGUUGUGGGCAUGGAUCCCAGUACACAAAAACAUCCGCUUUGUUGUCAGCAGGGAUGACACUGACAUUAAAGGUGGGUUUGUUAUUGUCAGAUGGGCUCUUCAACAAGCCAAUCACUUUAGUGAACCUUUACGUCCCCUAACCGGGAUGAUUCUGGCCAUAGACACUCACUCGUUGAUCCUAGGCGGGGACUUUAAUUGCACUCCUGAUUAAAGUCUUGACAGGUCAUCAUCCAAAAUAAUACCUGCGUCCUAACACCUCCACCACACAAACGUUAUGUGGUCUAUAUGGUCUUUCUGAUCCCUGAAGAUUUUUAUUUCCUUCUUCUAAUGCAUUUUCCUUUUUUUCCCCCAGUCCAUCAUUCCUUUAGCAACAUCGAUUACUUUCUAAUAGAUAAUAAUUUCAUUCAGAAUUGCUGUUAUGAUAUUGUUAAGGUGUUGUUUUAUCGGACCACGCUGGUUUCCUUUGAAAUAAUUAUACCACACCAACCUCCAUUUUUACUAUUUGCUAUGCUAUAAGCUAGCUUUGCUAUAGACCUGCUUUGUGGACAUUAGAUAGAUGUAGAUGUAAUGCUAACAUUAUAGCAUAGCUACCUUAAUGUUAGAUGGCAGAUUACAUUAAUAUAAAAUGAUAAGGACAUUGAAUAAUAUAAUUUGUAUGUGGCUUUUGCCAUUGUGUUGUGGCUAUUGCUAUUUUUUUUUAAAUUACAUUUUUACUUAGGUUGUAAUUGUCACUAUUUUACUCUAUGGCAUAUCACCAUACUACUUACUUACUUACUUACCUACUACUACAUACAAACAUAUUGUAACAUUUUUAGUAUUG